UGGGCGAGCAGGAGCGGGGCUGGGCGAGCGGAGCCGCCGCCUCUCGCUGCGGCACCGGCCCGGCCGGCGCAGGUGGGUGGGCAGCGCCCGCUCCCCCGCGGCUGCAGCCGUGACCCCGCGGCCCGGCUCCGUCCGGAGCGCGGCUGGGUGGCAGUGUAGAAGCCAAGAACAAAAAUUGGCAGAAAUUGUGUUCUGUGUACAAGAACAUGAAGAGUGUACUCAUGACUAAGCACAGGAACCUGGAAAACUACAGGAUUUAGUCAGGUGAUCCCUGAUGAGUAGCCAGCCCACCAAGAAGGGACUUCAGCACACAGUCUGCCCAUCCCAGCACAUCAUCAUGAUAGUUAUACUCCCAAAACUGUGAGAAUAAGGACUGGUAAGCCAAAGAAUACCACUGAACAGAGAAAAGGUCACAGGGAUUUACAUUUCUGGCCUUGUGGAUAAGGAAAGACUGAGUAUUAGGGAGAGGCACUGCUCUUAUAGGAUGUGAAAGGAAAUAAUGGGAUACACUGAGCAUGCCUACGCAUCCCUCGAAGACGUCACUCCAUCUGAGAGCCAAAAGGAGAGCAAAGAUGGUGCCAGGGCAGUUACAACCACAGCUUCUACUGGAUCAGUGCCUGACUGAGGAAAGCUGGAAUUCAGGUCUCCUGUCUCCAAGGCCUCUGACUACACUCAUUAAAACUUGGACACAGAAAUUAAGCAGUGAGAUGGAUUGGCCCUGAUCCCCUCUUCUCCUCUAACUCUGGCAGACACCAGGGAGUCUCCCAGCCCCUGGGGCUGCCAGAGGGGUGACCACCCUGCAGGAUCCCCUCCUGCAUCAACCUGGACUAUGCAGAGCCCAGACCUGGUUACCAAACCAUGACUCAAAGUUACCUGCACACAAAAUCCAGCCUCAGCCCUCCAGAUGGACUGAUCUGGGUGCUUUUUAUCACUGCUUAAUUCACAGAGGUUCUACUGAGAACCCCAAAUUGCCAAGAAAUACUGUAGGAAUAAGCAAUAGGAUCAAAAAGUUUCAACAACUUGCACUUAUGUUAAAAUAGAAGGGGCUUGUGAGUAACUUCUUUAUCUUUUAAACUUGUGCUAAUUUUCAUUGCUGUUUUUUGAAGCAAAGUAGUUGAGGUAGCUUUCAAAGUCUGACUGGAUUCCAGAAUAAAAAUGCAAUUGUUCUUUCCCUG